AGCAGCAGCCGCGGUAAUACGGAGGGGGCUAGCGUUGUUCGGAAUUACUGGGCGUAAAGCGCACGUAGGCGGCUGUGUAAGUCAGAGGUGAAAGCCCGGGGCUCAACCCCGGAAUAGCCUUUGAGACUGCAUAGCUUGAACACGGGAGAGGUGAGUGGAAUUCCGAGUGUAGAGGUGAAAUUCGUAGAUAUUCGGAAGAACACCAGUGGCGAAGGCGGCUCACUGGACCGUUGUUGACGCUGAGGUGCGAAAGCGUGGGGAGCAAACAGGAUUAGAGACCCCAGUAGUCCCUGUCUCUUAUAC
rnacentral:rRNA from 1 species